CAGGGUAUCAUACAAUACUAAAAGGGGAAUAAGAUCAUUAGAGAGCCUGUCCACGUAGGAUUAAAAAUUCAGGCCAAUCAAAGGAUCCCUUCCUGCCACGUCACGCUGUCUCUCUCUCUCAGCCUGCCAUGUCAACAUGUUUUUAUUAUUUCUCGACUUUUGUUUGUUAGUAAACCGGACCGGACCUAAAAAUGAGAACCUGAGACCAUUAAUCGUAUAAGGCUUUCUUAAGACAACUGGCUAUUUCAAUAUUUUUACUUUAUGUGCAUAGAAGCCCACGUUCUGGCCCAAAUAUGAUAUAAACAGAAUCUUCACUUAACGCCGACUCAUCCUCCUCUUCAUCCUCAUCUCCAUCGGAGUAACCCAACCGUUUCGACCUCCUUCAGUAAACCUUUGUAACGUUAGCGUCCCAUCUCUAAGAUUCAUAAAGCCCCAUUAUUUACUGAAGCCAUGCAACAGUUGCGAUUCUCUCAGCCUCUCGCCUUAUAUAUACCAUUAUCUCGAUUGACGAUUGAAAUCUCACAUCACUCAAUUCUUCAACGACGUCUCUCUUGGCUUGGGGAGGCGGAGCUGCGUUUCAGGUUAAUCCAUUUUCGGAAGCAAGGAACAUAGCCGAAUGAGGCAUUCUAAUUGGGUUAGAAUUGCUUAUGUUCGAUGAACUGGUUUGAAAUUGACUUUGUCAAACGAUUAUUUGCCUACUUAAGAUUUGAUUCCAGAUACUAAUAUCAUUCUACGAUAAGGUACUGUCAUACAUGGGUUUAUCUCACCUAACCGUUGUUUAGCUUUUGAUCAUCUAGGCCGAGCAUAUGCGUCAGUACUCUUUAAUGUUAUUUCUUUGGUCUUUAUCUGUUUUGUUUAGUGAGUCAAGUCAUAUUAUUAAAUGAUUAUGGAAAUUCACGCAGGUGAAAAGGAAUAUGGAAAGUGCCGUGAAGAGCCUCUAAAAGACGAGAUGGGAAGAGAUAUUGUGAUCCCUAAGCUUUUUACUCAGUAACUUAUUGUCCGACGGGUAACUACCACGUUUUCUAAACCUCUCUGUAUUGCCACAAAAUAAAUUUUCAUCUGAGGUUUUAUCUUCUUAAUAGAUUGCUGCAGGUGGUACUCACUCUAUAGUUUGACACGCGAAGGUUAUAUGUGGAGUUGGGGUCAUCCGUGACUUCCCCAUGACAUGUAUAGAUUAAAAUUAAAUGUUUGAUUUUGGUUUCCCUCUUUAUUGUAGAAAACAAAUAUUUGCUCCAGUGUUCAAGGUCCUGAAAAUUUCUGUUGAAGCAUUUCGUAAUGUGUCUCUUGAAGAAGAUGGGAGGCUCUUGGCACAACCCCUCAUCAUUUGUCCCAGUCUGAGGCCUCAAUGAUCUCACUUGAGUUUGUUUCUUUCUCUUCUUUUUAUUGAUUCAUUUUCUACUCAUUAAAACUUUCAAAAAGGGACUCUGUUGUCAAAGGGUACCACUACCUUCAGAUGCUUGAUCUACAACUUAUAUCUUUUUAAACUCAUGUUUAGGUUGAUAUUGAUGCGGGUGGCUUGCAUUCAACCACUUUAACUGUGGAGGGUUGGAGAAGAGGAGAACACGGAAGACUCGAGUUAGGUGACAAUGACCAGAUCAGCAAAAUAGUGCCACAGAAACUUAAUCAUAUCCCUGACCAAGAUAUCAUUCAGUUUGUAAAGCCUUAAAACUUUAAUUAUCUUGAAUCUCUAAAAGAGGAUCUCAUUCAUUUAAAGAUGCACUAAACUUUAAUGAUCAAUAACAUUUUUACAAAUAUGUUUCUUGCGGCUGAACA